UGGGGAAUUUUGGACAAUAGGCGAAAGCCUGAUCCAGCAAUGCCGCGUGUGUGAAGAAGGCCUUCGGGUUGUAAAGCACUUUUGUCCGGAAAGAAAUCCUUGGCUCUAAUACAGUCGGGGGAUGACGGUACCGGAAGAAUAAGCACCGGCUAACUACGUGCCAGCAGCCGCGGUAAUACGUAGGGUGCAAGCGUUAAUCGGAAUUACUGGGCGUAAAGCGUGCGCAGGCGGUUUGCUAAGACCGAUGUGAAAUCCCCGGGCUCAACCUGGGAACUGCAUUGGUGACUGGCAGGCUAGAGUAUGGCAGAGGGGGGUAGAAUUCCACGUGUAGCAGUGAAAUGCGUAGAGAUGUGGAGGAAUACCGAUGGCGAAGGCAGCCCCCUGGGCCAAUACUGACGCUCAUGCACGAAAGCGUGGGGAGCAAACAGGAUUAGAUGCCCCUGGUAGUCCACGGCCCUAAACGAUGUCAACUAGUUGUUGGGGAUUCAUUUCCUUAGUAACGUAGCUAACGCGUGAAGUUGACCGCCUGGGGAGUACGGUCG
rnacentral:rRNA from 1 species